rfam:Gossypium raimondii chromosome 6, whole genome shotgun sequence.
GGGGAUGUAGCUCAGAUGGUAGAGCACUUGCUUAGCAUGCGAGAGGUACGGGGAUUGAUACCUCGCAUCUCCA